AUGCUUGCCAAUUAUACUUUUAAGGGUGGAAUACCAAAGAAGUUAGGAGAUCCAGGAGUACCCACUAUACCAUGCUCCAUUAAAAGAAAUUAUGUUAGAACUGCUUUAUGUGAUCUUGGAGCCGGUGUUAGUGUUAUGCCCCUCUCUUUAUAUCGUAGACUUGAUUUGAAUAAGUUGACACCUACUGAAAUAUCUUUGCAAAUGGCCGAUAAAUCAACUGCUAUACCUGUCGGUAUUUGUGAGGAUGUGCCUGUUGUAGUUGCAAACGUUACUAUUUUAACGGACUUUGUUAUUCUUGAUAUUCCCGAGGACGAUAGUAUGUCUAUUAUUCUUGGAAGACCCUUUUUGAAUACUGCAGGGGCUGUUAUUGAUUGCAACAAAGGCAAUGUCACUUUUCAUGUUAAUGGUAAUGAGCAUACGGUACACUUUCCGAGGAAACGACCUCAAGUCCACAGUAUCAAUUCAAUUGGAAAAAUUCCAUCGAUUAUUUUUGGAGGUUUUGAAUUUCCUCUACCAACUGUCUGA
rnacentral:rRNA from 1 species